rfam:Bombyx mori DNA, contig: Bm_scaf53_contig27124, strain: p50T/Dazao, build 2, whole genome shotgun sequence.
UUAACGGUGCUUUUAGGCACCACAAGCACCACAAGCAGUAAUAUGU